rnacentral:rRNA from 1 species
UACAGAGGUCUCAAGCGUUGUUCGGAUUUACUGGGCGUAAAGCGUGCGUAGGCGGCGAGGUAAGUCAGAUGUGAAAGCUCAGGGCUCAACCCUGAAAUUGCAUCCGAUACUGCCUUGCUAGAGUAAUGGAGGGGAGUCUGGAAUUCAUGGUGUAGCAGUGAAAUGCGUAGAUAUCAUGAGGAACACUAGUGGCGAAGGCGAGACUCUGGACAUUUACUGACGCUCAGGCACGAAGGCUAGGGUAGCGAAGCGG